rnacentral:rRNA from 1 species
AUUGAACGCUGGGGCAUGCCUUACACAUGCAAGUCGAAUGGUAACAGGUCUUCGGAUGCUGACGAGUGGCGAACGGGUGAGUAAUACAUCGGAACGUGCCUAGUAGUGGGGGAUAACUACUCGAAAGAGUGGCUAAUACCGCAUGAGAUCUACGGAUGAAAGCAGGGGAUCGCAAGACCUUGUGCUACUAGAGCGGCCGAUGGCAGAUUAGGUAGUUGGUGGGAUAAAAGCUUACCAAGCCGACGAUCUGUAGCUGGUCUGAGAGGACGAUCAGCCACACUGGGACUGAGACACGGCCCAGACUCCUACGGGAGGCAGCAGUGGGGAAUUUUGGACAAUGGGCGCAAGCCUGAUCCAGCAAUGCCGCGUGCAGGAUGAAGGCCUUCGGGUUGUAAACUGCUUUUGUACGGAACGAAAAGCCCCGGGUUAAUACCCUGGGGUCAUGACGGUACCGUAAGAAUAAGCACCGGCUAACUACGUGCCAGCCGCCGCCGUAA